GUCCCGUCCCAGGAGAAGGCCGCGCAGGUGCGAUCGAUAUGCAAACCCCUGAAGCCUCUUGGGAUUCAUUCAGGGAGCUUGCAUUCUGGCGCUUCGGUUGAACAUCAGAUCUCUGGGAUUACUAGGACCUUACAGUGGCAGUUGGUUCGAUUGAGUACUCGGAGUCCAAACCGGCAGCAACGGAAAUAUUCAGGACUCCACUGGUAUCAUUUCUUUAUGAGAGAGGAUGGCGCCAAAAUUUAAUAUGGGGUGGU